AAAAGAUGAGAAAGAAAGGCGUAGCCUUCCCUUUGCCUCAAAUGACUUGCCUUUAAACCUCCUACAGAAUCCUCUACGAGGAACAGCCUGAAGAGGUAUAUUUACCAAUGGCUACUGUCUUCUUCUUCUUCUUCCUUCUCCACAUGCUCUCUGUCUGAAAAUCUAAA